UACUCCGUAGCUCAGCGGUUAGAGCAUCCGACCGGUGUACUGAAGGUCAUGGGUUCAAAUCCCAUCAGGGACUCAA